rnacentral:rRNA from 1 species
AACGUCUCCGUUGUGAACAGCGGAGGGAUCAUU